ACCGAGGAGCAGGAGCGAGAGACAAAGGUCCUGCCAAGGGCCGGAAGCCACGCCCUCCUUUCCAACUGCGCGCCUGAUUGGACGGUUCCCACGCGGCGCCACUGACUGGAUAAAGCCCCAGACCCACCUCACCCCCACCCUCCCAGCAUAACUGCAUUUUAGGGACAGGAAAACCGGCUCACGUAGGCGGGGUCACAGGCCCAAGGAAUUCCACAUAAUUGAGAAGUGAGCUGAGGCUUGAAAUGCACUUGCUCCUUACCUUACCUGGAUCGGCUUCAAUAAUGCAUCUUAGUAACUACUUAAAGAAUGCUGCCAUCUCCAUGAAUAAUGCCCAUGUUAGCCAGCUGGAAAAUAAGAUACCAUGAAGAGAAGAAGAAAGGUGGCCCCGUUUUUUGUUUUGUUUUGUUGAGAUGGAGUUUCACUGUUACCCAGGCUGGAGUGCAAUGGUACGAUCUCAGCUCACCACAACCUCUGCCACGUGGAUUCAAGCAAUUCUCCUGCCUCAGCCUCCCGAGUAGCUGGGACUACAGUAGAGACAGAGUUUCACCAUGUUGGCCAGCUCGUCUCCCACUCCUGACCUGAAUCCACCUGCCUCAGCCGUGCAAACUGGUAGGAUCACAGGCGUGAGCCACCACACCCAGGCUGGAGUGCAAUGGCGUGAUCUCAGCUCAUCAAAACUUCCAUGUCCUGGAUUCAAGCUAUUCUGCAUCAGCCUCUCAAGUAACUGAAGUUAUAGACACGUGCCAUCACGCCCAGCAAAGUUCCCAGGCAUCUCAGGACUCCCGUUUCUCCGGCUAACCAGCUGCAAGGUCACAGGGCAAGAUAACACCCGAAGAAUGUACAACGCAUUUAUCAAAAAGCUAUUUUUUAAAUGUAACGCACAUCACAAGACAUGUUGCAAAUUAAUUGUUCUUUGUUCUCACUUCUGUAAACGUGUUAGCUGCUAUGUAAUCCUGGAUGUAUAAAAGUACCCCAUUCUCUUCUUUCAGGGCUCACACUUAGAAUGCUAAUCCUCUGAGCUGGUGGCCACCUUAAUAAAAUCCUGUUUCACCCAUUAGUCUCUCCAGUCUCUUGGAUAUUCUGUAAAAACCAUGGGCAGAAUUUUCAAUUUGACUCAAGGUGAAAUGAGACACUAAAGAGAAUUGUUAUAACUUACAGGAGUAACUAAAAUUAUCUAAUUAAAUAUUUUUUAACACAGAAAUAUUAUCUAAUAUAUUCUCUAUGAGAAAAAAAAGUGACAUAAGACUUACAUCAGUGAAUAUAUG